AGUAAUGGAAAUACUGGUAGUAAUGGAGAUAAUAGUAGCGAUGAAGAUAAUAGUAGCGAUGAAGAUAAUGGUAGCGAUGAAGAUAAUGGUAGCGAUGAAGAUAAUGGUAGCAGUGACGAUGAUUAUAGCAGUGAUGAUGAUGAUAGUAGUGACGAUGAUGGUAACAAUGAAGAUAAUAAAAAUGGAAACAAUAAAAAAGCCACUAUUAAUGUGAAUAUUAAAAGAGGCAGUAACGGAACUGCUGGCAUUGCGCAGGAUGUGUUUAGUCAAGAAUAUGGUAUCGCUGAAAUAAGUAGAAAUGAUAUUAAUAUAAAUAGCAAUAAUAGUAAUGAUACGACAAGCACUAACAUUACGAUAACUACGGAGAGUACUUAUAAUAAUACAAACAAUACUUUAUACGAGCAUAACGAGAAAAUAAAUGCAAAAGUUGUAAAAAAGAAUGUACUUGAACAUAAUAAUAAUAUUAAUAGUGAUAAUGAUAAUAAUAAUGAUGACACAUCUUUGAAUAAUGUUAUUAUUAUGAAAAAUAAUAAAUCAAAAUUAGAAACGAAUAAUAAUGAAAUUAAAUACCAAAAAAGAUAUAACACGCGAGGAUUCAUUAAUAGAUUAAGAGAACAAAUGGAUAAACCAAAUAAUGAUGAUAAUAAUAUUAAUAACAACCAUAAUAUUUAUAAUUUUUAUUUGAUUAAACGUCGUUAUAAUAGUAAUCCUGAUCAAGCAAACACUAGAAAUACUAAGAAACCUAGGAAUAAUAAUAAUAAUAAUAAUAAUAAUGAUAAUAAUAAUAAUAAUGAUAAUAAUAAUAAUAAUAAUAAUGAUAAUAAUAAUAAUAAUAAUAAGCUUAAUGAAAAAUUACAAAAAUUAAAUAAUACCAACACGAAUAAUAAGCAUAACAAUAAUGAUGAUAUUGAAACGAAAAGUGUUGAUAUGAAUUCCGUUCAAAAAAAUGAUACCAGUAAUAGUAAUAUUGAAUUAACUAAUAAUAGUGAGUAUAAUAGUAUUGCAAAUGGUAGAGGUAGAGGAAGAAGAAACAUAAAAAAGAAUGUGAACAACACCAGGAGGAAAAGGGGAAGGAAAAAGGGAAGGAAACAGGUACGUAAUAGUGUGAAAACCAGUAAUAAUAAAAAUGUAAAUACCAUUAAAAAGAAAACUAAGACUGAUGCUGUGAGUGAAAUUGAGAGUAGCAGUGUAGGUAAAGGCGUGAGUGGCAGGGUAGGUAAAAGCGUAGGUGACAGUGUAAGUAAAAGUGUGAGUAACAGUGUAGGUAAAAGCGUGAGUAGCAGUGUAGAUAAAAACGUAGGUGACAGUGUAAGUAAAAGCGUAGGUAACAGUGUAGGUAAAAGCGUGAGUCGCAGUGUAAGUAAAAGCGUGAGUGACAGUGUAGGUAANNNNNNNNNNAGCGUGAGUCGCAGUGUAAGUAAAAGCGUGAGUGACAGUGUAGGUAAAAGUGUGAGUGGUAGUGUAGGUAAAAGUGUGAGUGGUAGUGCAGGUAAAAGCGUGAGUGGCAAGGUAGGUAAAAGUGUGAGUGGCAAUGUAGGUAAGAACGUAGGUGAAAGUGUAGGUAAAAGUAUGAGUGACAGUGUAAGUAAAAGCGUGAGUGACAGUGUAGGUAAAAGCUUAGGUGAGAAUGUAAAUACAAAUACAAAUGAGAAUGUAAAUACAAACUCGAAUGAUAAUGAAGAUACAAGUGUUACUAGAAGUGGGGGCGUACACACAAAUGAUGUUAAUAAUUCUGGUGGCACUGUAAAGUCGGGACGGGGUGGUAACAGAAGAAAAAGUAAAUUUGCGUCACCUGAAGAAUAUUUUAAAUUUAAAAAUCAACGACGUAUAGCAGCAUUGAGUAGUUAUUUAAAAUAUUGCAAAAAAGAAUUAAAAAAAAAAAGCUAUGAUGAUGAUUUUAUUGAUGAAACAGAAAAUGAAUUCGAAGAUUUCGAAAAAGACUUAAAUGAUGAAAAGGAUUUAAAUUAUGAACAAGAUGAAAAAGACGUAAGAAACCUAAGAAAUGCAAGAAACGUAAGAAAUGUAAGAAACGUAAGAAACGUAAGAAACAUAAAAAAUAGGCCUGUGAAAUUAAAUAAUAAUGAUAAAACAAACUUACAAGAAGAAACUAGCAGUUAUAUGGAGUUGAAUAAUCAAAAAAAAGAUAAUUUUAUUCAUAAUAAUGGAGCUUAUGAUGAUAUUUCUAAUAAGAAUAUGGACCAUCUUGAUAUUAAUAAUAAUGCAACUGAUGAAAAAAAUGAAAAAAAUGACAACGACGAAAAAAACGGAAACGAUGACGAAAGCGAUACCAGCAGUAAUCAAAAUAAUAAAAGUGCUAUCAAAUUUAGUAGCAGUGAUUUUUUGAUCGAUACAUAUAAUAAUGACAUUUAUAACACGGCUAAUUAUAAUAAUAAACGUAAUACAAAUAAUACUAAUACGAAUAAUACUAAUACAAAUAAUACUAAUACGAAUAAUAAUAAUACAAAUAAUAGUAAUACAAAUAAUAGUAAUACAAAUAAUAGUANNNNNNNNNNUACAAAUAAUAGUAAUACAAAUAAUAGUAAUACAAAUAAUAGUAAUAUAGAUUUUAGUGAUAUGGGUAUUUAUAAUAUGGGUAUUUAUAAUAUGGGUAAUAGUGAUAUUGAUAAUGGGUAUAUAACUUACGCUGAUGGUCUUAAUAAUGAUCAAAAUUAUAACCAUAUCGAUUUUAUGAAUAAUUAUUUAAGAAAUAAAAUUUCUAUGUAUACUAAUAACAAUAUUAACUUUUUUCGCACACUUAGUUAUAUUAAUGAUGAUAGUAAUACAUUUGGAAUUGAUAAUUAUCUGGAUGAUACACGUAACAUUACCUAUACUGACAUCUUGACCGACUUAGAUAAUAGUCAGAAUAAUACUGCUACAACUACUGCUACUGUUACUACUACUGUUACUACUACUGCUGAUACCACUACCACUACUGCCACUACUACUACUACUAAUAAUAAUAAAAAUGGUAGUGGGGUUAGCGAUGACGAGGAUGAAAAAGAUAACAUACAGGUUACGUGUGAAUGUGGUACGGAUAGUGAUGGAGAUAAUGAUUCAGAACGUCCAGUAAAUUUGCGUAGAAGAAGAAAUAACAAUCGGCAACCAGAAAGCACGUUAAUAACUGAAAGUGAUUUUCUUGUGAAUUGUCAAAAAAAUAAUUAUAAUAUAUUUGAUUAUGAAUGCUCCAUUAUAUUAACACGUACUGUUUUUUCACGUUUUGAUAAUUUAUUUAGUAAGGAUGUUGAAAAACCCAAAUUAUUGUGGAUGAAAGCUAUGAAAAAAGCACUAACGUUUAUAUUUUAUAAUUUUAAAAAGGUCGUUAUACCAAAACUACCAAUAAGUAAAGCGAAAAAAAUAAGAUAUAUUAAUGCUUUACGGUUAUGUUUAAAAGCUGCCAAAUAUGCAAAACAUUUAAACGAAUUAGAACCAUACAUACGAUUAUUCUAUAGUUUUCUUAUAACAAGUAUCAUGCCUAGUGAAUUAAGUAUUCAACUCCAGCUUUAUUAUUUGGAUAAAAUAUAAUACU
rnacentral:lncRNA from 1 species